CGCACUGCUCACUCUGAAAUGGUUGUUGCGCAUUAUAAUGCAUUGUUGAACAUACCCCGUAUUAGGUUUGCGGUCACCCGAAUCAGUUGGUGCGUGACUACCAUUUGGAAGACGUAGGUUCGAAUGACGUAGUGUCCGUGAAACAACAAAAUGACGAAAAAUAGCGGUCGCCUCUUGGCAGGCAAUGUCGGCUUGAAACUGUAGGUCUCUCCAUUUGUGGAACAACAUCAAGACGCACUGCAUAAAUAGGAGGAGGAGCUCAGCCAAACACCCAAAAAGGGUGUACGCGUAUAUAUAUAUAUAUAUAUAUUGAUGUGGCAGUACGUAUCUUCUGGCGAUUUCUGUUGUAGCAGCUUACUAAUCCCUGUCUGUCGUCUUCGUCUAACUCAUCUAACGGUGGACCCAGAAAGCGUACUCUGUCUCGCCAUCAAGGUUUGUUAUGUUUUUGUUUUAGUAUGUCAUUCACUUGCAAGGCGAAUUGAGUAUCUAUGGUGGCGCCAUUAAAUAUUUAUUUUUCGCGAUUUUCAGCCCAGUUCACAAUAAAAAACAAACAAAAGUAGCAAAAAUUACGUGUUUGUUAAAAUUCAGUGAAUGGCUUAGUAGUUUUAUGAUUUGUGAGAUUUGAAUUAAUCAAACUAAUGAAAUCGCAGUGCCCCGUGUUAAAUUGUGAAAGCACAAAUGAAUAUAAAGCCUGCAAAUGCAGUUUGUUUACGUUUUUAUGCGGAAGACGCCGUGGCAAGAAAGUAUGUGUGCGUAUGUAUAAUCGCUUGUGUUUGGUUGUGUCCAUUGUUUUCGCUUACUCUUCCUCUUCACAAACAAGGAAUUACUUGUUAUGGCCUCUGGUACGGUCAAGCAUUGUUUGACAAGAACUUUAUAUGUGUGCGUGUCGGGUGCUUGACUCUAAUAUCUAAAAUUUUUGAUUUUUACCGACAACAAGUAUGUGUGACACGACGCCACCCGACUGCACUAACACAUACAAAGCGCAGUCAAGCAUGCUGUAUCGUCACCAGAGGCCAUUACAGAGAACGUUAAUUAUACAUUAUAAUUAUACAUUAACGUUCUCUGCUUACGACACGGUGAAUUCGCAAGGCGCAAUCGUGUAUUCUAUCAUUAUUGAUCGCGUAGCUUCUACAAUAUUAAUUUACGCUUUCACAAUUUAACAAGCGGCAGUUCACAUUCAUUAAUUUGUUUAGUUUAAAUCUAACAAAGAACCAAACCACUCGCCGAAUUUUUAAAAAUAUGUAAUUUUUCCUCCUUUUGUUUAUUUUGUUCGUUUAUCGACUUGUCAGGCGCAUCUAUUCAAAGUGGUAGCAUUCGAGCAACAACAACAUUUUUCAAUUGAAAAUGUCAAGCGAAAGAGAAUAGAAGAAUGGAAUGAAUGACAAAUAGAUAAAAUUAGUUAGUCGCGCAUUUCCAACAAAAUACGUAUAUGGUAAACUUGAAAUACUCAGCCCUAUCACAGAAUCCGUCGUAGAAACCCUACGAAUAUCAUACUUUUGGACAAGCAACCCUGCGUUUUCUGUGUUAUCGAUAAUUAUUAUUACGAAUGUGAAGAGAAAUAUCAAAACAAAAACUAAAUGAAAUGGACGCCGGCAAAGAAAACAGAUUUGUAAACAUAAUUUUAGUUAAAUGUUUGUUAUCAGUGUUGCCAAUUUAGCGAGUUUGUCGCUUGAAUUGACGACUUUUGCUUGAGUCUUGGCAACAAAAAAAGUUUGGACGACAAAAAUGAUUUAGCGACUUAUCUGGCGACUUUUGGAGUGCAAAUCAAAACCGUUUUACGCAAUAGAUACUUUUCUGUCAACUUGAUUACCCGUGAAUGCCCUUUAACUUCUAUACUCUAGAGUAACAAU